rnacentral:rRNA from 1 species
UACGUAGGGUGCGAGCGUUGUCCGGAAUCAUUGGGCGUAAAGCGCGUGUAGGCGGUCCGGUAAGUCCGCUGUGAAAGUCGGGGGCUUAACCCUCGGAUGCCGGUGGAUACUGUCGGGCUUGAGUACGGAAGAGGCGAGUGGAAUUCCUGGUGUAGCGGUGAAAUGCGCAGAUAUCAGGAAGAACACCUAUGGCGAAGGCAGCUCUCUGGGACGGUACUGACGCUGAGACGCGAAAGCGUGGGGAGCGAACAGG